CACGUAGGAGGCAAACGUUAUCCGGAUUUACUGGGCGUAAAGCGCAUGUAGGUGGUUCUGUAAGUAGGGCGUGAAAGCUCCCGGCUCAACUGGGAGAGGCCGUUCUAAACUACAGAGCUAGAGGAUUGUAGAGGGAGGUGGAAUUCCGGGUGUAGCGGUGGAAUGCGCAGAUAUCCGGAGGAACACCAGUGGCGAAAGCGGCCUCCUGGUCCAUUCCUGACACUCAGAUGCGAAAGCUAGGGUAGCAAACGGGAUUAGAUACCCCGGUAGUCCCUGA
rnacentral:rRNA from 1 species